CGGCCUUAGUGAUCCGGUGGUCCCGCGUGGAAGGGCCAUCGCUCAACGGAUAAAAGGUACUCUAGGGAUAACAGGCUGAUCUCCCCCAAGAGUCCACAUCGACGGGGAGGUUUGGCACCUCGAUGUCGGCUCAUCGCAUCCCGGGGCUGGAGCAGGUCCCAAGGGUUCGGCUGUUCGCCGAUUAAAGCGGUACGUGAGCUGGGUUUAGAACGUCGUGAGACAGUUCGGUCCCUAUCUGCCAUGGGUGUAGGAGACUUGCGAGGAUCUGUCCCUAGUACGAGAGGACCGGGAUGGACGUACCUCUGGUGUACCAGUUGUGCCGCCAGGCGCAUCGCUGGGUAGCUAAGUACGGAACGGAUAACCGCUGAAGGCAUCUAAGCGGGAAACCAGCCUCUAAACGAGGUCUCCCCAAGGGCCGUGCAAGACCAGCACGUCGAUAGGCCGCAGGUGGAAGUGCAGCAAUGCACGCAGCCGAGCGGUCCUAAUAGCCCGAUCGAUCUCAUUC
rnacentral:rRNA from 1 species